UACGUAGGGGGCAAGCGUUGUCCGGAAUUAUUGGGCGUAAAGAGCGCGUAGGCGGUCCGAUAAGUCGGCUGUGAAAGUCCAGGGCUCAACCCUGGAAAGCCGGCCGAUACUGUCGGACUAGAGUCCGGAAGAGGCGAGUGGAAUUCCCGGUGUAGCGGUGAGAUGCGCAGAUAUCGGGAAGAACACCCGUGGCGAAGGCGGCUCUCUGGGACGGUACUGACGCUGAGACGCGAAAGCGUGGGGAGCGAACAGG
rnacentral:rRNA from 1 species